ACCUGUUCUUCCAGACGGACCUGCUACUCCAAUUAUGUAAUUGAAUUAAAUGUUCCUGCAAGCCCAGAGAACUGUAAGUUCCCACAUUUAAAGGAAGGGCUUUUUUCCCUUUGAAGACUCAUGACUAGGCCUGAUGCUCUGAAACUUCAAACUGGUUGGUUGAAGCCAUGAGAGGCAGCAGCCUGGAUAUAUUACUGAAUUCCUGGGCCAACAAAAUAGCUCACUUGGGUACUGUGGUGUUUUGCCACUAGAGUGAGCGACCCAUGUUCAAAGUUAGCCCUCGUGGUAUUGAAGAAAGUUUCAGUGCUGUGA